rnacentral:lncRNA from 1 species
GCUUCUGCCUUUUGUAAUCCACCUGGAUGGCACCACUGGCUGGGUUUAAUCAUUAUUUGGUGUCCAGCUUCCUUUCAUAUACUAUGACUCUUCUGUGCUUUUACAAUGUUGUGUCUACUUGAUCCACAGCAGGUGAGCUCAAGUCCCUGAUGAUGGUUGUGGUUUUACUCUCUCCUUGCAAUCAUAUUAGUGUUUGUUAAGUAUGUUUCAAGAUUAUUUUGGUAGAUAGCAGCCAACUUUGGAUAGAAUGUUUCUUCUAUUAUUAUGUAGCAUUCCCUUUUAUCCUUGUUAAUAAUAUUUACUCUAAAUUAAUAUCACUAUGUAUGCUUUUGCUUUAGUAUCUCCAUGUUAUACCUCUUUCCAAUCUAUCUGUGCCAUUUUGUUUUAGAUGUGACUUUUAUGGACAGGACAACCCUGAUUAAAAAAAAUAUACAGGGGUUGGGGUUAUAGCUCAGUGGUAGAGUGCUCAUCUAGCAUGUGUGAGGCACUGGGUUCAAUCCAGUGACCACAAUAUUCGGAGAGACCAAGAGAAAUCUUUAUUGCAGCAGUGCAACAGAGGAGAAAAGAGAGAAAGAGAAGGAGAGACAGAGAGAGAGAGAGAGCGCAAAAGAGCAAGAGAGAGAGAGAGGGAGAGAGCAAGAGAGAGAGAGGCCCGGCAGGAGGGAGUUUUUAUAGCCCAAAUCUAAUGGGGUCUCUGGGUCUGCAAGCUGCCUUGUUGACACACAAGGGGGUUAAGUGUUCGGCCUUGAGCAGGGUGUUGAGUGUUCAGCCUUGAGCGGGGGCUUGGGCGUUUGGGCAAGACGGAGGGUUAGAGAAGCCAGGUCAUCCUGCAGCUAACUUUGUUUGGCGUGCCCUGCAGACAGCUUACUCAGCCUGUCCUGCACCUAACAGGUCCAAUCAAAAUUCUUUCCCAAUUUUUAAAAAUACAAACAGAAAAAAAGAGGGCUUAUAACAGACACUGUGACAGACGGCGUGAAUGCUGUCACAGUCAGCAGUAUUCCUCUAAUCCACAGUGGAAGAGGAGGAAGAAAACAGCAAAGGCUUCCAAAAGGUCAAAGGAUGAAUGCCACUCGGUACUUUCGCAAAAGUGACAGGGGCAAGAUUUGUGAUCAUUGUAAUCAUUGCUUUUCAAGGACUCCUGGCACUGGGAAUGGUCAAGAAAGACCAUGUAUUUUGUGCCUCCAUGGGAAGAAAGACCAAGAAAGAAACUUUGGAAUGGGAUUGGAGAAAAGUUUAUAAAGUCAGGGGAGGUGAAAUGGUCAAAUAGCGUUAUUCUUUGAAGUCCAUGAACGUGGUCUGUUUAGAACAAGUAAGGAAACAGGAAGUGCGCUCCGUGUGUGUGUGUGUGUGUGUGUGUGUGUGUUGGGGUGGGGGUGGGGUAAUUAAUGAAACAUGUCAACCUGAGACAGGCUGCUGCUAAAGUGUGAACUUCACAAUGCAGUUGGGAAAGUUCUGGAUGACAGGCAGGAUUUCAUAUCUGCUGUCUACCAAGUCUCCUGGUUCCCCAGGUGUGGUUGUUCAGGACCACGGUGCCCACCUGCUCCGUCAGGGGAGAGCUGGCCGGAGGCAGGGCAGCCUGCACCUGGUCUCCUGCUCCUGCAGGUCUCAGAGGAAGACAGAGGAGCAUCGCCCCAUGGCUCUUGCCUUGGCAGUGGGAGACAAAGGCUCAUCCCUUCCUCAUUUUGGGGACUGUGUAACAACUUUUAUCCUCAUCAGUUUUGUACUUUGUUUCCCAUGAAAAAGGGUGAGCAAAAGUUGUGGAACCCUAUGUAUCUUUCUCUUCUUUAAAUAAAUUUUAUUGUGCAUAUUUGAGAUUAGUGACAUGACAUUAUGGGAUCCAUAUAGAAAGCAAAAGGGUUCCUAUGGUGAAGCAGGUGAACAUCCCCAGCAUCUCACAGUUACUUUUUCAUGACAAGAAUAGCUGAAAUUAACUUAUUUAGCAAAACUCCCUAAUUCAACACAAUGCAUUAGCCUUACUCCUGUGUUGUGAUUGAGCUCUAGACUUUCCUCCUAUGUGUCUGCACUUUUGUAUCCUUUGACCCACAUCUCCCGUUUUCUCUCCUCCCUGCUGCUGGUGGUACCCACUGUUUGACACUCAUCUCUGAGUAUCUGAUCUCCUUUUUUUCUUUUCCAUUUCACAUAUAUGUGAAACAAUGCAGUUUUUUUUUUCAUUCUAUAUCUGGCUUAUCAAAAAGGAGGUAAUAAAUAUUAGCCAGACAUGGAGAAGGGGAGCUCUGUCUCACUCAGGAAUGUAAGUAGGUUGGUGCAGCCAUUAGGGUAAACAGAAGGUGGUUCCUAAAGAAAUCAAAAAUAGAACCAUUAUACAAUCCAGCAAUCCCUCUUCUGCUCUACACCCAAAGGAGAAGAAAUUACCACCUCGUGAAGAUAUCUGCACUCCUUUGUUUAUUGAAGUCUUAUUCACAGUAGCCAAGAUAUUCAAAUAACAUUGGUAUCCACUGGUGGGAAAGUGGAUAAAGGAAAUGUGCUAUGUGUAUACACUGGAAUAUUAUUCAAUCUUUAAAAAGAGGAGAUCCUAGCAUUUCCACCCCACGGAUGAUAGACAUUGUGCUAAGUGAAGUAAGUCAGACAGGGAACCUCAUUUUUUAAUGUCUCAAAACAAGUAAGUUUUAUCGUCUGGGGUGGUUCGAUAUGUUAACUAGAAGACUGAAGGGUGUAUCAGCUGGCUUCUCAGCGAGUCCCUUCUUGUCCAAAGAUCAUCAGAUACUAUGUACAUGUUCUGUGAUGGACAGUUGUGGCCAACAAGCCCUAGCCAAAUGCCCUAACAGAGAGCAUCUAAAGGUGCACCCUGAAGCUUUAGGUGUUAUUUCACAAGCUCGUGGUGACAGGUGACUGCUAUGUUCUGGACACAUCCUGGAGGCAAAGAAAAACAGAGUGGGACUGGCAUAGGAAGCUGUGAAGGAGUGCCGGGGCGGGUGUGGGGAGACACUGGCUCCAGUGCAUGUCAACAGGAAAGUAAUUAGGGUGAAGACAGGUGCCAGUGGAGCAGGCAGGCCUCAGGCCUGGCAGCCAGGCCAGGGCAAGGUGCCCAAGGUGCUCUGCAGUACCAGGUCUGAAUUCUGAGUCGAGGCAGUCAGACAGGGAUUAAUGUGGAGAGAGGGUGAGGAAGGAGGCCCUGGAAGAAAGCCAGGCAAAAGGAAGAGGAAGAAAUUUGCUUCUCUGGUUCUAGAGACCAGCUCCUAAAGAAAGGGAGAUGGGCCAGCAGGAGGAAGACCUUUGCAGCUCGCAAUAACAAGGCAGUGUGUGGGCUGAGGAUGACGCGUGUGCUUGAGCAAUCUGCCUUGGCAGUGGGAGCAGGAAGCUGCCCGGCUCCUCUGCAGCCCUGGCCACAAUUGUUGCCACACAAAGAGAGCUAAGAUAAUCUGUCCCUUGUCCCAGGAUUUCUGAGGUGUGCUGGGUACCUAUUAACAGGCAGGCAGACAAUUUGCUCAGUCUCCCUGCUGGGACACAGGACCCUGCUGAUGGUCUGUUGUACAGCCAUUGCAGAGGCUGAGUGACAUGCUCCUUUCCCAAGGUGGCCUUGCAUUGCCUCAUGUCCCUCUUCCCAUCACGUGUGUCCCUCAUGAACUUGAUGCAGAGGAGAAAAAAGAGAAACCCACAAUGGGCUUCCUCUUGGGAAUGGCCAGCAGUGCUGCCACCUCCUGAGACAUUCAGAGGUUGGGUAAUGGAGGCGGGUGGGCUGUUGGGUCCACUUCCUUGAGUCUGGACUGAAGCUUGCUCUCUCUGAAGCUCUGUUUUCUCAUCUGUAGAAUCGGGGGGAAGGAGGAGAGGGACUGGACUUGCAUGGUGUGAGGUACUUGCCACUUGCAGCAUCCUGUGACCUAAGGGACACUUAAUUCAGGUGUGGCAGUUUCCAAGUAGAAGAAUGAAGAUGUUUUGGAAACUUUCACGAAGGGACUGGGCCUUCCUGUGGGUUGAAGGCCGGGUGGUCCUACAGUCUGUCUUGAAGGCCAACCAAUCCACCUCUUUAAUUUCCAUUUUCUUAGCCCAAAUGAGCUUUUUUUGUGAGCAAGUUGGUGCUUCAGAGGCCAGAUUCACACCCCACGUGGGAGGUGUGAACAGGGGCAGGAGGGGAGUCCUGAUGGAUUCCUCCAGUGACCUAACUUCCCCAGUUCCCGUGACCCCCACAGGAUUUCAUCCACAGUUCUAAGCACAAGGUUUCAGGAGCAGCUCUGUUGUGCAAAGAAAACCGUAAGGAAGGACAUUUCCAGGGAUGGCUCAUGACUCAGAAGUCCUUUAGGAACAAGUAGGUAUCUGUAGAAGAUGGGAAGCCACUCAGACUAUUGUUUGGUAAUUUAUUUGAAAAUCACAUUUGUUCAUUAGAAAUUUGCUAGCAUACUUGAAACACUUAAUAAAUAUAAUCCAUGCUACAAUCAAAACUCAUAUCUAUUUUCUUUGCCUCUUAAAAAUUUUGUCAGUAGAGGUAUCUUCCCUGAUCUAGAAAGAAAGCGUAGCAGGUUGUUCUUCAGACUCCUCUGGUCACUUUCUUUUUUUCUUUUUUUUUAAAGAGAGAGAGAAAGAGAGACAGAGAGAGAGAAUUUUUUUUUUAAUAUUUAUUUUUUAGUUUUCGGUGGACACAACAUCCUUGUCUGUAUGUGGUGCUGAGGAUCAAACCCGGGCCGCACGCAUGCCAGGAGAGCGCGCUACCGCUUGAGCCACAUCCCCAGCCCGUCCUCUGGUCACUUUCAAUCACAGAGUCUGGGGGAUGGCUGUCUGGGGGCCAGCAAAGUCUUGAGCACCAAGUUCAGGGACUUGGACACGAGAGUCACCCACCAUGGCAGGAGCUGGCCCAGGCAGGAGGCGAAGCAGCCGCAGUGAUGGGGGCAGUGGGAGGAGCAGGAUGGGAUCUGUCACCAUGCCCUGCAGGGAGGUCCUGGGGUGGGAGUCCACCACGACUCUGGCAUGAGGCAAGAGGACCCUGAGGAGUGAUGGAUGCUGGUCUUCUUGAAAUUGUGGAAUGGGAUUCUUGUGGCAGGAUUAGAUUGGACUUAGAAAAAUUAACGACAGGGAAUUUCUAUCAGAAUAUUGUGGUGCAAUUUAUCUCCAUUGCAUGUGAUAAAGAUAUAAAUGUAUUAUUCUUAAGAGCAUUAUUUGGAAGGGGUACUCACAACAAAUGUAAAGCAAAACUUAUCUUGACAUCCUUUUAAGUAAAAUGAAACAUUUUACCCUUUAAAAAAAAACUGGACUUUUUCUUCCAUUAUAAAAUUGAAAAUGGCCUGGAAACGAAUUUCUGAUCACUUGUUGCAACAAUUUGUUGGUGAGACCAUUUUACAUUGAAGCACAAAGGAUAACUCAUGGCUCAAAUCAUACCUCAUUUUUCACUCACGGUGGCUGCUUUUCUUUUACUGCAUUGGAAUUUCUAAAGUGGUUUGUGAUCAGACACUUAAAAGGUCUUGGGACAAAUCUCCCCCAAAAUAUUGAAGAUCAUAACCUCACAGCUUCCCCCUGAGACCCCCUAAGUCCCCAACUGCUCUUGAAGCCUCAUUUGAGCCCUCUAGUUCAUGGGACACUGGCUUCUGCAGAGCCACCCACUUGUGCUUACCCACCACCAGAACAGUGAGCACAACCUGCUCGUGAUUUUAUAUUUACCUUUUAAAUAAAACAUGUACACAACUAAUAAUUCAAAAACAAUCAGUGAUUUUUCCAUUUCUCAAAAAGUGGUACACAAUGUAGAUAAAGAUUGGAAUUUACAAAUAUCUAGGCACUGCCAGAGGCAAUCUCAUAAAUCUUUGAUUAUUAUUGAUCUCACUUAUUUGUUCCCUAUAGUUAUGCUUCCAGAGGUCUUUGAGGUCACCUGUGUCUUUUUUUUUUUUUUUUUUUUUAAGAGUUAGAUGUCUUCCAGACUACACGUUGCCAAUGUCACUUCUGACUCAGAGUCUUGAAGUGGCUGGGUGGUUUUCGCCAGUUAUUUAUUUUCUGAUACCCCAGAUGGAUGGCUACUUCCUUCAGGCAGGGAUUGUCUUCUUCUUCCUAGUAGCUGUCCAGACCCCUGGCACGGCCUGCUGAAUAUUGUGGAGCUCAAUAAACACAUGUUUAUAUCCAUACCUCCCAGGGCAGACACACUACUCUUUCUUCUUCUAUCUUCUGUCUGUAUAAAACUCAUCUCUCAUGACUCCCCUCCUCACAAACCUGCCAGAGCUUCCCAUUUCCUAUGAAUUAAAUACAUACUCCUCCAGGAGCUAUUUAAGAUCCCUGGUUGCAGCCAAAACGUCCUGAUAAAGUCCCCCUUAUCCAUGGGAGAUCUGUUUCAAGAUCCCCAGAGGACGCCUGAAAUUACAGAUAGUGCCAAACCCUGUAUAUACUCGUUUUUUCCUAUUCAUAAAUACUAUAAAGUUUAAUUUAUAAAUUAGGCAAGUAAGAGCUUAACAAUAAUAAAACAGAGAAUUAUAACAGUAUACUAUAAUAAAAGUUAUGUGAUUAUGAUCUCUCUCUAAAUAUCUUACUGUACUAUUUUUAGCCUUCUUGUGAUGAUGUGAGAUGAUACAAUGGCUUCCAAUGAGAUGGAAGGCAGUGACCUUAAGCCACUCCAUAAGGUUACUUGAACAUAAGCUUCAUGGCACUGGGUUGAUCUGAUAGCCGAGAUGCUUAUUAUGUGACCAGUGGGCAGCUAGCUGGUGUGGAUAUGCUGGACAAUUUAAUGAUUCAUGUCACAAGAAGGAUAAAUCAGACAGUGUGCAAUUUAAAAUUUGUGCCACUUAAGUUUUAAGCAAAAUCAUGCAUAGGAGGGAGGACCUCAGUAUUCCCAAAUGAAUCUGAGGCUGCUCUGAUCCGAUUUCCUACUGGGUUUGUAGGUGGGCAUGCGCAGAGUCUGCACCUCUCAACGCAUUGCCAUGCAGUGAACUCAUCUGGAAACUGUGCACAGUUUUCCACCAUCAGGGCUGAGAGUGGCUCAGUGGUGGAAUGCUUGCUUAGCACAUAUAGAAGCCCUGUGUUUGAUCCCCAGCACUGAAAAAAAAAUUAUGUAAAUUUAAACAAAAUCUCUAGACCCUAUGUUAAACUUAACUCAGUAGAAUCUGUGGGGAGUGAGGCCCAGAUGUUCACAUUUUAAACCAGAAUCCCUGAUGAUGAUUCCUAUAACCACCAGUUGCCUCUGAGUUUGGGAUUGUUAGUCUGAUGCUGCAUUAAGCACUGUGGAGAAAUGAAGGUUUCUCUGGUUCAAUUAGACAGCUUCUGUACUUGAGAAGACACCUUCUUUUCUCCCCUAUUCUGGGGAUAGUUCUCCUAACCUUUGGCCCACAAGGCAAAAGGGGGGAAGGAAGUAGUUCUGGGUCCAACCAGGAAGCCAGAGUAGAAAAACCUGGCUCUCUUGGCCUCAGUCUUAUCUCUUCUUAUCUUGUUAUCUACUGGCUUUCUUUAUAGCAGAUACUAGAGGGGCAGAGCCCAAUCAAGGAGUUGCAAGGUAACAAAGAAUGAGAAACCUGGAAGGAGGAAGCAGGCGGAAUGCGGAGACCUUUAGCUAGUGGGGUGGGGACAGCACUAACUUUUCAGGGCUCAGUUUCCUCCUUGGGAACAAGGAACACUGAUGGGGUGAACCCUGACUUCCUGGACUGGGAAGAAGUAUCCACAGACAGCUUUUCUUAUGCAUCUUUUGGGUUGAUACUGAUGUAUAUGGCUUUUUUCCAAUUUCUAGAGCUUUGAAAUUUGUAGUUCUCUUACAAUCCAGACACUCUUUCAUCAUGUUUUCUCCUCCAUUUCUGUCUCUCUGUGGUUAUGACUCCAUCCGGCCUCGUGUUUAUUCCAAGGUGCACCAUGAUCAGGAAUGCUUCAGAGAUAAGCCUUCCCGCCCUGCUGAGGGUUUAGCUGUUCUCGCUCCUCUUGCUUUUAAAGGAGAGAGGCAGCAAAUCACUGCAGGAUGAUUCUUGAGAGAAAAAUAAUGUUAGGAGAAAAACCAUCUGCCUGGGGGUUUGGGGCUUGGAUGCUGCUUCAAGCAUUGAGGAGGAGGAGGAGGAGGAGGAGGAGGAGGAGGAGGAGGAGGAGGAAGAAAUGGUUCCCAGGUAGUUUUAAUACCACCAGGGAGGAAGAGGCUGGACCAUCCUGCUCACUGCUCCAGAAGGAUUUGGAGUGAAAUUGGUAGGAAAAUAGGUUUUAUUCACAGCCAGUUUUGAAGGAAGAGAGAAGAAACAACUAUUUUGAAGGUUCUGUCUCCAAAAUUCUUGAAGUUGAGCAGAACUUUUAAAGGAGAGGAGGUCAGAGAGAAGACAGGGCAGGGAGUGCGGGGGAGGCAAAUGUCAGGGAAGGGACACCUGCAGAUCCAGUUGACCUGUGUCACACAGGCCUGAGUGGGCAACCUCUGCUCCGUCUUCUUCGGGGCUGUCAGGGUAAGGGGUUGCAACCCAGCCCCAGCCUCCACUCUGAGCAUGAGGAAGCCAUUCCCAAUUUCAGAUGGAGGGGGGCAAGUUCAGUCUGCUUCAGGACCUAGACUUGAGGCUUCUUGAGUGUGAUUGAGAACCCCAUUUUUAUGAAAGGGCAAGGCUCCUGGGAGUCUUGGAUGUUGGAAAAUGUGACAGAAGAGAUUUUAAUAAAGCCAAAGCCAAAAUACCCAGGGCUGUGAAUUGAACUGCUGCAGCCGUAGGUCGCACCCUCCUCUUUGUUGCCCAAGGAAUGUGGGAACACUGACAGUCGUUUGCCUUCACCCAGGUGAGCCCUCUCUGAGACCAUGUGGAGACAUUUUCAGGCCUUGAGAACAAGGAGGUGAUACCUCUCAGAAGAAGAUUGGGUUAAAUCUUAUGAACACAUCUUGUUUCUUUCCUGGCUUUGGCUGCUAGGCAGCUGAAGGCUACAUUCCAGUUGAUCUCUGAUGGCUAAGUCCCUCUGCUACCAAUCAGUCCAGCCCUCAGCAUCACCAGCUCAGCCUUGGGUGCUUUUGCUCAAUUCAAGAUGGAAAUCAUGAAGAGGCAAGCGAUUCCAGAAGGCUUGGCUGAAUCGUAUGCUUAAGGGCAAAAGAGACAGCAAGUGAGUAAGGCUCCAGACUGGCUCCUGGAGGAAGCUGGGAGCAAAGCUCUAGGGCUGACAGGUGGCUGGCGCAGGUGUCCUGGCAGCGACUGAGCAGGGCUCCCCGCUUCUGCACACACAUGUUUUGCUCUGCUCCCAGGUCUGUGCUUGGUGGGUGAUCUGCUCCUGCGUGCUGAGCAUUUGUACUCUGUUUGCAAAGGACAGCAGAGGCGCUCCCCAUGGCCAGCCCAGGAGGUCAUCUGGCAUCAGAGCCCGGCAUUCUGCCCACGAGAGGCUGCAGGAAAGUCCUUUUGCAGGCACUGAAGGAAGCACAUCAUGGAAACAGGGCCUCCUGCUUAUCCUUAGAGGCAAAACGUGGUUGGGAAGUUUUCUCCUUGGUGACACUUUAGCGAGGCCCUUACAAUAUUCUUCUUUUCUAUGUUUUGAUUUGGCCCUGGCUUCACCUGCCCAGUCGGCCACCAUUUUCCUAGUCACGGGAUCUUCCUAACCAUUUCUUUGCUGCUGUUUUGCGUGUGUUUUUGAAAAUGGCCUCAAAUUGCUUUUGGAGCAAGGCAAGGCACGAACAAGGAGCCGAGGAUCACAUUCCACCGGGGACCUCAGCCCGGGAGAGCAGCGAGCAUCCUGGGGGCAGCACCGGAUCUGAAGCAGGCAGCCAGGCCUGCCUCUGAGCCUCCGAGGUUCCCACUUGUUAACCACCAUCUGGGACUCCACUUCCCCUCUGGGAUCCUCAGUGUCUUCAUCAGCAAAAUGACAAUAGCAGUGGUCACACUGAGCCUAGCUGUAAAGUGAGGGUGCUGGGAGGUGGCGGUGUCUGCAGCACCUCCUCAGGUGCUGGGUGCACAGUGCUGGCGCCCCACAGAGGACCUGGAUGGGUGUGCGAGUGCUUAGGGGGCUGUGAGCUGAGGAAAUGUGGGGACGAGGGGGGCAGUUUGCAUGUGCUGCCGACGCUGGACAGGAAAGACCUCCUGGAGGGAGGUAAGAGGAGGAGGUUGCUUUCUGAGCACAGUGGGGCCACCAUGAGAGGGGAGAGGACUUGGAAUGGGUCCAUCCAGUUGGACAAGAAAUGGCUAGAGGCCUCUCAAAGCCCUGGCACUGACAGUACAAGGACAGGCAGGACGUUGGGGUGUGUCUCAGUCCAGUCCAGGCUGCCCAUGUCUUGGAGUGACCCCAGAGGUGGUGAAAGGCACAUCUGCUCAACCAUGGGAAAGGGCUGGCUUGGCUGUGCCUGGGCCAGCUGCCCACUCUCCUGGACCCCCUGGCACCAACUCAGACCCUUCAAAACCACGACAAGAUGGCCUUCAAGGCAGUGGGAAAGCCCCUGGUAUCUGGUGGCACCACCGAAAUUGUUUAUCUGUUUAUGUGCCUUGUGGGUCACUGCCUGGUGUGCACAUCACAGGGGAAUAAAUGUGAGCGCGCGCACACACACACACACGUGCCCCACAUGUGCACACCUCUACCACAUGUUCCCAUGGAUACCUACGCCUGAGCACACAUGUGCCCCUGGACACACGUGAUUGCACCUGGGCGUGUAGCACCCACAGGCACACAGGCCGCGCACCCACACCUUCAGAGACAGCCCCUGGCUCUGCAGGCUGUGCUCCAACGGGAAGAAGGAAAUGCAGGUGAGCUGUGGUUCCCACUCAGGGGGGCGCCCGAGUAUGGGCCCACAAGAAAGCCAGCCUCCUGUUUACCCCUUCACUGGCCACGCAUAAGAGCCCCAUUAUGACCGAGCUGCUUUAUCUUGGUGACACUUAGUGACACUUGUUUUCUUUGGUUUGGCCCAGUAUGUGCUCUUGUCAUUGCCCUAUACCCAUUUAAAACUCCUCCUUUGUCCCAGCUUCCUUGGAGGGACAGUAUUUGUGUGGUUUUCGACUCUGCCUGCCAAGCCGCGACAGGCCUCCCCUCAACUGCUCAUUUGUUGAUGAGCAAGGCAGCGGGUCUGGGCCUUGAGCUCCCUGUGAACCAGGACUCGGGAGCAGGGAGGCUGGGGCGGCUUCUGGGUCCCCGAGGCCACACCUGCCUGGCUUCCCUUUGGGCCACAACACGGGCAACAGCUCAUUGCCCCCCUCUUUUUAAAAGGCGUUCCCUUUGGAUUCUGGGGUUCUUAAGACCCCUCCACACGGCCCACUGUGCCUGCAGCCCAGAGUAGCCUCCAUCCUCCGAGUCAGAAUGGAAGGCCAGCAGGAUGGCGUCUCCAGGGCUGGAGAGCGCGUCAUCUGGGCAGAUGCCUUGCCUGCGACCUGCUGGGUCCUGCUCAGGACUGGGCUCCUUCAUGUCUUCCCGCCAACCCUAGGGCAUGGUGAAGUGGGGGUGGCUGCAGCACCCAUGACCCCCGUGCCCCUCCAGCUGUUCUCACUCUACCAAGUGGCUCCCCGGGCUUGAAAGGCACACGUUCCUCUUGAAGGUGAAGAGAGGAGGGGGGCAGCGCAUCCCAACAUUCAGACCCCAAGAGAAGGCCAGCCCAGCUGGCAGCCAGGGCUGGAGGACAGCGAGCAGGGCCAGACGUGCUCAGGGUGGCCUUGCAGAAGGUGCGAAUAGCCCUGCCUUUCACCUGUGUGAGGGGAGAGGCUCUGGCAAUCACGACCUGGGAUGAGAGGCAGGAACCCCCACUGCUGGGGACACCUGGACGAGUGGCCUCUGGCUGAAGGCCGUGUGGCAGAGCUCAGUCUUCACACAGGCACGUUGGGUGGCCUGCACAGGGGAGGCUGUCCCCGGGCUGGGCUGAAGAGCAACAUAGCCCUUGCUGGCCACCCCCCGGCCCCUGCUGGGAAUGCUCCCAAAGUCUCUGUCACUCACCCCCAGCACGUUCACAGGCACCGCCAGGGCAAAGAGGUGCCAGUCUGUGGCAAAGCCGGAAAGCGAGGCCCUUCUCCACAAGGCCUGUUCUUGACUCUGAGCUUCUGCCCAAACUGCCCCUUUUUGUUUAGAUGUCUUCCAGUUUGUAAAAUGGUGGUGAUGAAAUGGGCUUUAAACAGCUCUUCAUUUGGAAAAGAAACAAAAAGGUAUCCUAUGCUGGUCUCCAAAACGAAAUUUAUUUGGGUUUUUCAGGUUCGUGGACUCUAGUUUGGAAACAGCAAAUCCACCUCGUGACCAAAGCAGGGAGCUCUGGUGAGCCUCUCAGGUCCUCCAAACUCCUGUGCCCAGUGUCCCUCCCUUUGUCUGCUCUGGCCCCUCGGCCCCCCACUAUGCCCCAGCCCCAGUGACUUCCAGGCCUGCUGUGCCAGGGCCAUCUGGAGCCAAGCCCUCUGUCCUCUGCUGCUCUGAUCCCACCGCAUGGCUGGUGAGGGACUCUCCUCACUUCAUUUCCCUCCUUGUCCACCAGCCACAGGAGAGAGCCUCAGUGCUGUCUCUGCUACACCCUAACCUUGGGUUUCCUCCUCCCAGGCCCACAGCCCCGGAGCCACUUGGCUCUGCCUUCUCCACCCUCAUCCUGGGUGCCCGAGCCUGGCUGCAGGAGACACCACCAUCAAGGGGCAUGGCCCCUCUAAUCUAUGGCCCAGUCCCAGCUGUCACCCUGCUACUUGUCAGUGCUUCAGUGAACCUUUGGUCAGGGCCCUGUCCUUCUCCUCCGAGGCUAAAUUCCCUGAAUGUGCAGGUUGAGGGUUUUGGGGUGGAGACGGCUGGCAGACCGUAAAAAGAAGGAGAGAGAUUUGGGGUCCGCAGUGUGUCAGAUAUUGCUGAAGCUGCGGGAGUAGAUGGAGUCCAGGUGGAGGAGGAGGAGAGGGAUGGGACAGAGCUGGGAAGACACUUGCUGUCCCCAGUGCCCACCUUCCUCCUGGGUUCCUCAUCACAUGUGGCAACCUCAGAGAUGGCAAUGACUGAGUCCAGACCUGGGGCCAUUCAUGGCCCCUUUGUCCUCCUGACAGCCACAUGGCCACUGGCUUAUGUUUCUGAUGACCAUUUCUGCCAUCUUUGCCAUCCCCUCCUUUCCCUGGGCCUCUAGCUCUGCUUUGUUCCUGGGGUGCAGGGGCCAAGCACAUUCGCCUGUGUGCCCUCAGAUGCAGGGCAAGCUGGCACAUAGAAAGGUUCUUUGCAAGUUUGCUUCCAGAGAUGCUCUCCACGCUGAGCCUGCAGGAGGCUUGCUGGUACGCGGGUUGCCAGGUCCCACUUCUCAACCUCAGGGUUUGCAGUUCUAACAGUUCUCAGGUGAUGCUGGUGGUCCACGGCCCACACUUUGGAACCAGGGCUUUAGUGCAUGGAAUGAAUGUAUGCUGAUACUGGAGGCAUGGUCUGAUCCAUUCCAGUUGUAUUAAUCUAGAUCCCUCAUACAGGGACCCCUGCGGCAGUUAGGGCACCCUAAUAUCUGUCUAUUCCACUGGCCUUCUGCUCAAUUCAGUCAGUUCUAACCCUGCAGUGGUUCUUAACGUGUCUCCAUGAACCACACUCCACCACCCCUACUACCAGAGAAUUAUGUGGCGUGUGUGUGUGUGUGUGUGUGUACAUGUGUAUGUGCGUGUGUAUGUGUGGUUCUGGGGAUUGAAUGCAGGGCCUUGCGCACGGCAGGGAAGCACUCUACCGUUGAGUUAAACCCCAACCCUUUAAAAGUUGUUUUAAAUUUUGAGGCAGGGUCUCACUAAAUUUCCCAGAUUGGCUUUGAACUUGUAAUCUUUCCACUUCAGCUUCCCAAGCAGCCAGAAUUACAGGCCUGUGCCCCGAUGCCUGGCUGUGCCGCCACAUUUUAGACAGGAGGACUGAGUCGACCUGGGUGUGCUUGGUUACAUUCUGAGUUGGCUUGUUGUUUCUGUCUUUCCAGAUGGUUAUGCAUAGUGGGGCAUUUUUGGAUAGGACAAGUAGGGAAAGAGU